rnacentral:rRNA from 1 species
UACGUAGGCAGCAAGCGUUGUUCGGAAUUACUGGGCGUAAAGAGUGUGUAGGCGGUGCUCUAAGUUCGGGGGGAAAUCUCCCGGCUUAACUGGGAGGGUGCGCCGGAAACUGGAGUGCUUGAGCGCGGGAGAGGAAAGCGGAAUUCCUGGUGUAGCGGUGAAAUGCGUAGAUAUCAGGAGGAACACCUGUGGUGUAGACGGCUUUCUGGACCGUAGCUGACGCUGAGACACGAAAGCGUGGGUAGCAAACAGG